rnacentral:lncRNA from 1 species
UCUCCCUCUCUUUUUUUGAUUUGAUUUUUUUUUUAUUUCCUUCUUUUCUUCCUUUAUUUUUUUCCUUAUCUCUUUUUUUGCUUCUUAUCUUUAUUUUUUUUCUUCUUUUUUCUGUUUCCUUUUCUUUCUUUUUCUUUCAUUUCAUUCUUUCUUCUCCAUUCCUUUAUUUGUUUCUUUUUUUCUUUUUUUAUUUUAUUUUUUUUAUUUUAUCAUUCCUUCUAUCUUUUCUUUCUUCUUCAAUUU